rnacentral:rRNA from 1 species
GCAGCAGGCGCGCAAAUUACCCACUCCCGGCACGGGGAGGUAGUGACGAAAAAUAACGAUACGGGACUCAUCCGAGGCCCCGUAAUCGGAAUGAGUACACUCUAAACCCUUUAACGAGGAUCAAUUGGAGGGCAAGUCUGGUGCCAGCAGCCGCGGUAAUUCCAGCUCCAAUAGCGUAUAUUAAAGUUGUUGCGGUUAAAAAGCUCGUAGUCGAAUUUGUGUCUCGCGCCGCCGGUUCAUCGUUCGCGGUGUUAACUGGCGUGUCGUAAGACGUCCUGCCGGCGGGCUUAGCUCGCAAGGGCGGCCCAAUUCAAUCCUGCCGCGGUGCUCUUCAUUGAGUGUCGAGGUGGGCCGGCACGUUUACUUUGAACAAAUUAGAGUGCUUAAAGCAGGCUAAAAUUUCGCCUGAAUAUUGCGUGCAUGGAAUAAUGAAACAGGACCUCGGUUCUAUUUUGUUGGUUUUCGGAACCCCGAGGUAAUGAUUAACAGGAACGGAUGGGGGCAUUCGUAUUGCGACGUUAGAGGUGAAAUUCUUGGAUCGUCGCAAGACGGACAGAAGCGAAAGCAUUUGCCAAAAACGUUUUCAUUGAUCAAGAACGAAAGUUAGAGGUUCGAAGGCGAUCAGAUACCGCCCUAGUUCUAACCAUAAACUAUGCCAGCUAGCGAUCCGCCGACGUUCCUCCGAUGACUCGGCGGGCAGCUUCCGGGAAACCAAAGCUUUUGGGUUCCGGGGGAAGUAUGGUUGCAAAGCUGAAACUUAAAGGAAUUGACGGAAGGGCACCACCAGGAGUGGAGCCUGCGGCUUAAUUUGACUCAACACGGGAAACCUCAUCAGGCCCGGACACCGGAAGGAUUGACAGAUUGAGAGCUCUUUCUUGAUUCGGUGGGUGGUGGUGCAUGGCCGU